rnacentral:misc_RNA from 1 species
GCUUGAGCAAGUCGUUUUGAUUCCUGUAGAUAUGAGGACCUUCAAUUUUAUAGCUCUAAUUUUAUUUGCUCAUAAAGUAAAUAGUUUCUGUACGCCAACUCAAUGCUUAAAUAGACUAUGCUGACCAUCUUGAAAUAGAAAACCUAUUAGAAAUUUGAACCACUUAAAAGGGAAAAAUUUUCAAGUCAAAGACAUAUAGCCAAAUAAUAUAUACUGAAGCUCUUUUCAGCCAUUAAAGAUCUCAUGGUUAUGAAUUUCUAUUAUCAACUAUAUUAUUAAGUAUCAUUCUUCAUCAGCAACCUAACUCUAAACUGAUAUACUGCAAUGGCAAUACUUAAAUAACCAAUUUUAUUAUUUGAAUCUAGACAAGACUUAUGUAACAAGUUUUUAAUUUGGAAUAUUCAUGCAUGAGUAAAUUCAUAAGAUAACAACUUACAGCAGCGGAAAUUGCACGUAUCU